CUCUGAUUGCAGGUCCAGGGAAAAAUGAGGAGUGAAACCCUCCCUGUCCUGCCCAGUGGAAACAACUGCCCCAGAUGCCACAGCAGGGAGCAGCUGGGGGAAGAGGAAUUGAAAAUCCAAGCAGGCAGAACCCACUGGAAAUCUGUGGGAUUUUUAUCAGGCUGAAUUCUGCAAGUUCCCAGGAAAACUGAGUGAAGUACUAUCUGUUGAAUUAAAAAAACAUUUGCUGUAUGGAAAAACAGUCUUGCCUUGUGAAAGAACAGACGUCUGGAAUUGGAGGAGAGAAAUGAUCCUCAUUCUUUCCCUGCUCCACACUGCACCUGGACCACUUGAUGUUCCUACCAGGGCUUGGGGCAGCAGAAUCUUGGUGGCCACAGUUGGGAACUCGGUGAAUUGGAGCAAAGCUGAAGGGUUUGUCCACUAAGAGAAGCGGUGAAUUAUAAACCAACGCAGAGUGAUAUUCCACACCAGGGAUUUGGAUUGGUGAUGGUCCCAAUCCAUCAUCUUUCUGUUCAUUUUCUUUUGGAUGCUGCAGCCUGCUGGGCUGGGGGAGCUGUUCCUUUGCAUUUAAUUUUCUGUAUUCUGUAAAUUCUCUGUGGAAAUCUGCUUUUAAUAAAAAGGCUCUUGAUGAUGUCCCAGAUUCCUGGGAUUCACAGGUGUGUGUUCAGACCAAGGAAUGUUCUGGCUGGCAGAAGCUGCACCAAUCUCCCAGGAAUCUCAGUCUGGGUUUGUCUUUGCUCCCAGUUCUCCUCAGUUUGGGGUGCAGUGCAGCCCUGCCCUGUGGAUCUCCCAGAAGAGUUUUGGGGUUAAAAAGGUUCUUUCCUAUUCUGCAGUUUUUCUCUAGAAUUCAAUAAAAAAGAAUAAAACUGUA